AGCCACCCAGGUGCCCCAGAAAAUUUGGAUUUCUUCUUGAGGAAAACGGAAAGCCAUUGAAGAGUUUUCAAAGUGGAGACCAGGUUCCAUCAAGAAUGAUGUCGGUCAUCAAGGUGGAAGAGAGGGAGGACUGGGGAAUCAUGCACCAAUCUUUAAAUGCCAGAAAAAUGGCAAUGCCACAAGAAGUAUGGGUGAUAUGAUCUUGAUCACUGGCUGAACGGAUUUUUUUUCCAACCAGAGAUCACACAAGAGGAAUCAAUUUAAAAGAUUAGUUUUCAAUUUGCUAAAAAGUGAGUCAACAACUCUUUAAGAUCUCAAACUCCAGCUUUUCUAGUUUAGGUAAGAGCUUUGCCAGGAUGAGCACUUUCAGAAAGUUUGCAAGAGAAGUUUCAUUAUUUAGCUCAUUGGGAGUUUAUUCAGGUUUCUGUUAUAAAAAAUAUGUAUUGAUUAAUGCAUGCCUAAGUCAUGGGGUGAAGGAUAACAAGGAAGAUUCUAGUCAGAGAACUUCCCCUGUAUUCUAAAGGAAAGUUAUGUUUUCUAGUCCAUCCCAACGGUGAGGGAAGAAGAUAAAUGUUUAUAUUGUCAAGCAGGACACGCGUUAUCUCAUUAGUUUUAAGAAGCAGUUAUUGGGGCACCUGGGUGGCUCAGUUGUUUAAGCGUCUGACUUCAGCUCAGG